rnacentral:rRNA from 1 species
AUGUCCACCGACGCCGACCGUGCCGCCGUCGAGAAAGCUGAAGCCGACAAGAAGGCCAUCGAGGACGCCGGUGCUGCCACCAAAGCCGCGGCCUCUGCGUGGCCUAAUGAAGGGAAUUUCUCGGCAAGUGGCUUUGCCGCUGCACUGAAACCGGAUAAGUUUACCGGUACAUACUUCAAGCGUUGGCAGACUAAGACCACGUUAUGGCUCACGGCUAUGAACGUGUUCUGGGUCACCGGUGUCUCCAUGGGAACGAUUGCUCCUAAACAGGAGAAGGCGUUUAAGGAGGCUACCGUUGUGUUUCUCGGAGCAAUUCUUAGCGUGAAUUCUUAG